UGGGGAAUUUUGCACAAUGGGGGAAACCCUGAUGCAGCGACGCCGCGUGAUUUAGAAGGCCUUCGGGUUGUAAAAAUCUUUUCUAUGGGAAGAAAAUGACAGUACCAUAGGAAUAAGUACCGGCUAAUUACGUGCCAGCAGCCGCGGUAAUACGUAAGGUCCGAGCGUUGUCCGGAAUCAUUGGGCGUAAAGGGUACGUAGGCGGGUAAGCAAGUUAGAAGUGAAAUCCUAUAGCUCAACUAUAGUAAGCUUUUAAAACUGCUCAUCUUGAGGUAUGGAAGGGAAAGUGGAAUUCCUAGUGUAGCGGUGAAAUGCGCAGAUAUUAGGAGGAAUACCGGUGGCGAAGGCGACUUUCUGGCCAUAACCUGACGCUGAGGUACGAAAGCGUGGGUAGCAAACAGG
rnacentral:rRNA from 1 species